UCGCAGCCACAUCCGCACACAAAUUCGCAUCUCUAAGAAACUUUAAUUACUAAUAUUAUCAUAUAUAUCAAUAUCAAAACAUUACAUAUUUAUACUUAACUACACGUACUAAACCAUCUUAGCAUUUUUCAACACCCUUCUGAUUUAGAAGGGAACGAAAAACUAGAAUAAAAAUGGAAACUACACAUUCUCUUCAUCGUCAUGGCUUCAUCGUUUUGCUUCUUCUUUUAUCCGUUUCUUAUGUGUCUUGUUUUUAUACAAGGAAUAUCAUCAACGGUUCUUAUCGUUUAAAUCCAAGAGAAUAUCGACCGAAUCAACUGCCAAUAUGCAUUGAUCAUCCGGCGCCUAGCGUCGAUCUAUCGCCCAUCUUUUGUGGUGAAGGAUAUGUUAUCUCUGAGAUAAAAUUCGCCGACUAUGGCCAACCCACUGGUGACUGUAAGAAUAACACGCUUAAACGUGGAAACUGCGGCGCACCCGCUACUUUGAGGCUCGUCAAAAAGGUUUAACUAAACGUAUAUAUAUGAAUUAUCUGUUUGAAAUGAGUACUAAUACAUCAUAUCUUAUUAUUGUUAUCUAUUGUUAUUACUUACGCAGAAUUGACUUGGAAAAGAAGAAUGUUGGUUUCCAGUGACAG